rnacentral:rRNA from 1 species
AUGAACGCUAGCUACAGGCUUAACACAUGCAAGUCGAGGGGCAUCAGGAAGAAAGCUUGCUUUCUUUGCUGGCGACCGGCGCACGGGUGAGUAACACGUAUCCAACCUGCCCUUUACUCGGGGAUAGCCUUUCGAAAGAAAGAUUAAUACCCGAUGGCAUAAUGAUUCCGCAUGGUUUCAUUAUUAAAGGAUUCCGGUAAAGGAUGGGGAUGCGUUCCAUUAGGUUGUUGGUGAGGUAACGGCUCACCAAGCCUUCGAUGGAUAGGGGUUCUGAGAGGAAGGUCCCCCACAUUGGAACUGAGACACGGUCCAAACUCCUACGGGAGGCAGCAGUGAGGAAUAUUGGUCAAUGGGCGCUAGCCUGAACCAGCCAAGUAGCGUGAAGGAUGAAGGCUCUAUGGGUCGUAAACUUCUUUUAUAUAAGAAUAAAGUGCAGUAUGUAUACUGUUUUGUAUGUAUUAUAUGAAUAAGGAUCGGCUAACUCCGUGCCAGCAGCCGCGGUAAUACGGAGGAUCCGAGCGUUAUCCGGAUUUAUUGGGUUUAAAGGGAGCGUAGGUGGACUGGUAAGUCAGUUGUGAAAGUUUGCGGCUCAACCGUAAAAUUGCAGUUGAUACUGUCAGUCUUGAGUACAGUAGAGGUGGGCGGAAUUCGUGGUGUAGCGGUGAAAUGCUUAGAUAUCACGAAGAACUCCGAUUGCGAAGGCAGCUCACUGGACUGCAACUGACACUGAUGCUCGAAAGUGUGGGUAUCAAACAGGAUUAGAUACCCUGGUAGUCCACACAGUAAACGAUGAAUACUCGCUGUUUGCGAUAUACAGUAAGCGGCCAAGCGAAAGCAUUAAGUAUUCCACCUGGGGAGUACGCCGGCAACGGUGAAACUCAAAGGAAUUGACGGGGGCCCGCACAAGCGGAGGAACAUGUGGUUUAAUUCGAUGAUACGCGAGGAACCUUACCCGGGCUUAAAUUGCAGUGGAAUGAUGUGGAAACAUGUCAGUGAGCAAUCACCGCUGUGAAGGUGCUGCAUGGUUGUCGUCAGCUCGUGCCGUGAGGUGUCGGCUUAAGUGCCAUAACGAGCGCAACCCUUAUCUUUAGUUACUAACAGGUUAUGCUGAGGACUCUAGAGAGACUGCCGUCGUAAGAUGUGAGGAAGGUGGGGAUGACGUCAAAUCAGCACGGCCCUUACGUCCGGGGCUACACACGUGUUACAAUGGGGGGUACAGAAGGCAGCUACACGGCGACGUGAUGCUAAUCCCGAAAGCCUCUCUCAGUUCGGAUUGGAGUCUGCAACCCGACUCCAUGAAGCUGGAUUCGCUAGUAAUCGCGCAUCAGCCACGGCGCGGUGAAUACGUUCCCGGGCCUUGUACACACCGCCCGUCAAGCCAUGGGAGCCGGGGGUACCUGAAGUACGUAACCGCAAGGAUCGUCCUAGGGUAAAACUGGUGACUGGGGCU